rnacentral:tRNA from 1 species
GCCGAGAUAGCUCAGUUGGUAGAGCAGAGGACUGAAAAUCCUCGUGUCGGCGGUUCGACUCCGUCUCUCGGCACCA